CAAAGAGGGGCAAGGGGAUGGAGACAGGGAAAUCAGGGUUAUAGGGGCAGGGGUAACCAAGGAGGAAUAGACAGGAACACUUGUUUCAACUGUGGACAAUAUGGCCACUGGAGGAAUGAGUGUCCACACCCCAGGAAACCCCAGGAAACCCCACACACCCCAACAACCCCACCUUUCUCAAAAUAUGCCCUGUAGGCAAGAACAACACCAGACCCACUCCCAACACCACUGGCCAGCAUAUCGCUUAGUUCAGGACUUUAGAGCCCUGAAUAGUUUAAUUGUGCCCAUUUCACCCAUUGUCCCUGAUGUGACAUCCCUCAUUACAG